rnacentral:rRNA from 1 species
UAGGGAAUCUUCCNNUAAUGGACGGAAGUCUGACCGAGCAACGCCGCGUGAGUGAAGAAGGUUUUCGGAUCGUAAAGCUCUGUUGUAAGAGAAGAACGAGUGUGAGAGUGGAAAGUUCACACUGUGACGGUAUCUUACCAGAAAGGGACGGCUAACUACGUGCCAGCAGCCGCGGUAAUACGUAGGUCCCGAGCGUUGUCCGGAUUUAUUGGGCGUAAAGCGAGCGCAGGCGGUUAGAUAAGUCUGAAGUUAAAGGCUGUGGCUUAACCAUAGUACGCUUUGGAAACUGUUUAACUUGAGUGCAAGAGGGGAGAGUGGAAUUCCAUGUGUAGCGGUGAAAUGCGUAGAUAUAUGGAGGAACACCGGUGGCGAAAGCGGCUCUCUGGCUUGUAACUGACGCUGAGGCUCGAAAGCGUGGGGAGCAAACAGGAUUAGAUACCCUGGUAGUCCACGCCGUAAACGAUGAGUGCUAGGUGUUAGACCCUUUCCGGGGUUUAGUGCCGCAGCUAACGCAUUAAGCACUCCGCCUGGGGAGUACGACCGCAAGGUUUG